rnacentral:rRNA from 1 species
CCUACGGGCGGCAGCAGUCGAGAAUCAUUCACAAUGGGGGAAACCCUGAUGGUGCGACGCCGCGUGGGGGAAUGAAGGUCUUCGGAUUGUAAACCCCUGUCAUGUGGGAGCAAAUUAAAAAGAUCGUACCACAAGAGGAAGAGACGGCUAACUCUGUGCCAGCAGCCGCGGUAAUACAGAGGUCUCAAGCGUUGUUCGGAAUCACUGGGCGUAAAGCGUGCGUAGGCUGUUUCGUAAGUCGUGUGUGAAAGGCGCGGGCUCAACCCGCGGACGGCACAUGAUACUGCGAGACUAGAGUAAGGGAGAGGGAACCGGAAUUCUCGGUGUAGCAGUGAAAUGCGUAGAUAUCGAGAGGAACACUCGUGGCGAAGGCGGGUUCCUGGACAUUAACUGACGCUGAGGCACGAAGGCCAGGGGAGCGAAAGGGAUUAGAUACCCUUGUAGUC